UACGUAGGGGGCAAGCGUUGUCCGGAAUCAUUGGGCGUAAAGAGCGUGUAGGCGGCUCGGUAAGUCCGCUGUGAAAGUCCAGGGCUCAACCCUGGAAUGCCGGUGGAAACUGUCGAGCUAGAGUCCGGAAGAGGCGAGUGGAAUUCCUGGUGUAACGGUGAAAUGCGCAGAUAUCAGGAGGAACACCAAUGGCGAAGGCAGCUCGCUGGGACGGUACUGACGCUGAGACGCGAAAGCGUGGGGAGCAAACAGG
rnacentral:rRNA from 1 species